CGGUGGCCGGGCUCCCCGGCGCCGGCCCUCCGAUGCCUAAGUCAGAGGGGGCAAGUAUGUGGAGAGAGCGGGGGAGAGGAAGUGUAUGGAGAAGACACAGUAUUUUAUCAGAUCAAGAAGACAAAGGGAAUGAUGUCAUCAAUUGUGUCUGUGCUUCCCGGAGGGUUCAGUCCCGGGGGUCUGUUUCCGUUUUUGUUGUCGUCCCCCCUCCUUGGUUCUCCCAGGUUCCCUUUUAUAGGAGGGGAUUACGUUACCUGGGAGGUGACCGGGGGAUUUGUCCCUGUCCGUAANN
rnacentral:lncRNA from 1 species